UACGUAGGGUGCGAGCGUUAAUCGGAAUUACUGGGCGUAAAGCGUGCGCAGGCGGUUCGUUGUGUCGGUGGUGAAAUCCCCGGGCUUAACCUGGGAAUGGCCAUGGAAACUGGCGAACUGGAGUGCGGCAGAGGGGGGUGGAAUUUCGCGUGUAGCAGUGAAAUGCGCAGAUAUCAGGAGGAACACCGGUGGCGAAGGCGGGUCUCUGGGCCGAUACUGACGCUGAGGAGCGAAAGCGUGGGGAGCGAACAGG
rnacentral:rRNA from 1 species